rnacentral:rRNA from 1 species
UACGUAGGGUGCAAGCGUUAAUCGGAAUUACUGGGCGUAAAGCGUGCGCAGGCGGUUGUGCAAGACCGAUGUGAAAUCCCCGGGGCUUAACCUGGGAAUGGCAUUGGUGACUGUACGGCUAGAGUGUGGUCAGAGGGGGGGUAGAAUUCCACGUGUAGCAGUGAAAUGCGUAGAGAUGUGGAGGAAUACCGAUGGCGAAGGCAGCCCCCUGGGAUGACACUGACCGCUCAUGCACGAAAGCGUGGGGAGAAACAGG